rnacentral:rRNA from 1 species
UGCAUCGAUGAGAACGCAGCGAAAUGCGAUACGUAGUGUGAAUUGCAGAAUUCCGCGAAUCAUCGAGUCUUUGAACGCAAGUUGCGCCCGAGGCUUGUCCGAGGGCAUUUCCGCUAGAGCGUCACCGCGCCCCCCACCGAUCCGCUCCCGCCGCGAGGCGCCAGUCGGGUCGAGUGCAAGUGGCCGUCCCGGCGAAGUGGCCUUCUUUCACGAGGAGGCCGUCCUUGGAAGGGUCGGCUGAAAUGGAUGGAAUCGGGCCGCCGUGGUGACACAGUCCGCGAUCGGGUGAUUUUGUCGCGAGCCUCCUGCUCUGCGGGAGGCUCUUGGUGAAUUUUUCUAAGUGCUUGGCUGCGUCCCCCAGUUGGCUCGGGUUACCUCAUGCAGGUCGAGCGCGCCCCCGCGGCGCGCGUCACGCAUCAGACCUCUAAUCGGAAAAGAC